rnacentral:rRNA from 1 species
GACGAACGCUGGCGGCGUGCCUAAUACAUGCAAGUUGAGCGCUGAAGGUUGGUACUUGUACCAACUGGAUGAGCAGCGAACGGGUGAGUAACGCGUGGGGAAUCUGCCUUUGAGCGGGGGACAACAUUUGGAAACGAAUGCUAAUACCGCAUAAAAACUUUAAACACAAGUUUUAAGUUUGAAAGAUGCAAUUGCAUCACUCAAAGAUGAUCCCGCGUUGUAUUAGCUAGUUGGUGAGGUAAAGGCUCACCAAGGCGAUGAUACAUAGCCGACCUGAGAGGGUGAUCGGCCACAUUGGGACUGAGACACGGCCCAAACUCCUACGGGAGGCAGCAGUAGGGAAUCUUCGGCAAUAGACGAAAGUCUGACCGAGCAACGCCGCGUGAGUGAAGAAGGUUUUCGGAUCGUAAAACUCUGUUGGCAGAGAAGAACGUUGGUGAGAGUGGAAAGCUCAUCAAGUGACGGUAACUACCCAGAAAGGGACGGCUAACUACGUG